rnacentral:rRNA from 1 species
GAGGUCCAGCCUGCCCGGUGAUACAAUUUAACGGCCGCGGUAUACUGACCGUGCGAAGGUAGCAUAAUCACUUGUUCUUUAAAUGGGGACUAGUAUGAACGGCACCACGAGGGCUUUACUGUCUCCUCCCUUCAAUCAGUGAAACUGACCUCCCUGUGAAGAGGCAGGGAUACUACUAUAAGACGAGAAGACCCCAUGGAGCUUUAAACCCAACAGCAGCCCAAACACCCCUCCCCAUCAUAGUUUUUAAGGUAUUGUCAGUUGGUUUUAGGUUGGGGUGACCGCGGAGCAUAAACUACCCUCCACGACGAAUGGGCCUACCCCCUUACCCAAGAAUUACACCUCUAAGGAUUAAUACAUUAACGUUAAGUGAUCCAAAUAUUUGAUCAACGAACCAAGUUACCCUGGGGAUAACAGCGCAAUCCAUUUUUAGAGCCCCUAUCGACAAAUGGGUUUACGACCUCGAUGUUGGAUCAGGGUAUCCCGGAGGUGCAGCCGCUUCCAAUGGUUUGUUUGUUCAACAAUUAAAACCCUACGUGAUCUGAGU